UGAGUACCUGCACUUCUCUGGAUGAUUAA
rnacentral:piRNA from 1 species